GUAGUCCACGCUGUAAACGAUGGAUACUCGGUGUGCGGAGCGUUAACCCUCUGCGUACCAAAGUUCACACAUUAAGUAUCCCGCCUGGGAAGUACGGUCGCAAGACUAAAACUCAAAGGAAUUGACGGGGGCCCGCACAAGAGGUGGAGUAUGUGGUUUAAUUCGAAGCAACGCGCAGAACCUUACCUGGCCUUGACAUCCCACGACGCUUGCAGAGAUGUAAGUUCCCCUUCGGGGGCGUGGAGACAGGUGCUGCAUGGCUGUCGUCAGCUCGUGUUGUGAAAUGUUCGGUUAAGUCCGGCAACGAGCGCAACCCCUGUUCUUAGUUACCAACAUUAAGUUGGGGACUCUAGGAAGACUGCCGGUGUUAAACCGGA
rnacentral:rRNA from 1 species